CACGUAGGCGGCUGAGUGUGUCUGGUGUGAAAUCCCCCGGCCUAACCGAGGAAUUGCACUGGAAACUACUCGGCUUGAGGGCAGGAGAGGAGAGUGGAACUCCAGGUGUAGCGGUGAUAUGCGUAGAUAUCUGGAGGAACGCCGGAGGCGAAAGCGACUCUCUGGACUGUCCCUGACGCUGAGGUGCGAAAGCCAGGGGAGCGAACAGGAUUAGAUACCCUGGUAGUCC
rnacentral:rRNA from 1 species